rnacentral:rRNA from 1 species
UUUGUCUUUUAAAUGGAGACUUGUAUGAACGGCGAAACCUUCUUAAACUGUCUCCCUCCCUGCCCUUCAAAACUCUUACUUAAGUGAAGAAACUUAACUACACCCGAAAGACGAAAAGACCCUGUCGAGCUUCAGCCAAAAGGUGAACGAAGGUUUAAUCACAAAACCCCCAUCACCAAAAGGCUUUGGUUGGGGCAACCAUGGAGAAGAACUAUCCUCCAGAAUAAGUAGUCGAAACCAAUUCACUACUACAAAUUAAAGAACCAGGAACUGGUAAUCGGAAAAAGUUACCGCAGGGAUAACAGCGUCAUCCCCUUUAAGAGUCC